UACGUAGGUGGCAAGCGUUGUCCGGAUUUACUGGGCGUAAAGAGCGCGCAGGCGGUCGUUCAAGUCGCGUGUGAAAGCCCCCCGGCUCAACUGGGGAGGGUCACGCGAUACUGAUCGACUCGAAGGCAGGAGAGGGUAGUGGAAUUCCCGGUGUAGUGGUGAAAUGCGUAGAUAUCGGGAGGAACACCAGUGGCGAAGGCGACUACCUGGCCUGUUCUUGACGCUGAGGCGCGAAAGCUAAGGGAGCAAAC
rnacentral:rRNA from 1 species